CACCGAGGAACAAAGGCUAAGGGCGCCACAUCGUGUGGCAACGCCUUCGUGACCAACAUCCUGUUGG
rnacentral:sRNA from 1 species